rnacentral:ncRNA from 1 species
CGUCUCCUCCACCUCCUCCUGGUGGAUUCAGCCCGAGCCUCAGAUGCUCGGGCUUUUUUUC